rnacentral:rRNA from 1 species
GAUGAACGCUGGCGGCGUGCCUAAUACAUUCAAGUCGAGCGAAUGGAUUAAGAGCUUGCUCUUAUGAAGUUAGCGGCGGACGGGUGAGUAACACGUGGGUAACCUGACCAUAAGACUGGGAUAACUCCGGGAAACCGGGGCUAAUACCGGAUAACAUUUUGAACCGCAUGGUUCGAAAUUGAAAGGCGGCUUCGGCUGUCACUUAUGGAUGGACCCGGGUCGCAUUAGCUAGUUGGUGAGGUAACGGCUCACCAAGGCAACGAUGCGUAGCCGACCUGAGAGGGUGAUCGGCCACACUGGGACUGAGACACGGCCCAGACUCCUACGGGAGGCAGCAGUAGGGAAUCUUCCGCAAUGGACGAAAGUCUGACGGAGCAACGCCGCGUGAGUGAUGAAGGCUUUCGGGUCGUAAAACUCUGUUGUUAGGGAAGAACAAGUGCUAGUUGAAUAAGCUGGCACCUUGACGGUACCUAACCAGAAAGCCACGGCUAACUACGUGCCAGCCGCCGCAGUAA